GAACGAGCACCGAAUCCUUCGGGAGGAUGUGCUGAGUGGCGGACGGGUGAGUAACGCGUGGGUACCUGCCUUGUACAGGGGAAUAACAGUUGGAAACGACUGCUAAUACCGCAUAAGACCGCAUGGUAAAAACUCCGGUGGUACAAGAUGGACCCGCGUCUGAUUAGCUGGUUGGUGAGGUAACGGCCCACCAAGGCGACGAUCAGUAGCCGACUUGAGAGAGUGAUCGGCCACAUUGGGACUGAGACACGGCCCAAACUCAUACGGGAGGCAGCAGUAGGGAAUAUUGCACAAUGGGGGAAACCCUGAUGCAGCGACGCCGCGUGAAGGAAGAAGUAUUUCGGUAUGUAAACUUCUAUCAGCAAGGAAGAAAAUGACGGUACUUGACUAAGAAGCCCCGGCUAAAUACGUGCCAGCAGCCGCGGUAAUACGUAUGGGGCAAGCGUUAUCCGGAUUUACUGGGUGUAAAGGGAGCGUAGGCGGCAUGGCAAGUCAGA
rnacentral:rRNA from 1 species